GACAGUGGCAGUUGGCGGUGGUUACUGGCAGAGCAGGUGGGCAGAAGACCAAAGGUCAGAAGACCUUAGGAGCGGCGCCUAGGGUUCUUCUGUUUUCUGCUAGGUUUUUUUUUGUUUUGGGUCUAGUGGGCUACUAGGAUUUUGGUUAUUGGGCUGGUUUUUGAUUUGGGUCGUAUCAGGCCCGUUGUACUUGGACUUAUAGACUGUUUUUAUUUCUAGUAUGGUUUAGUUUAUU
rnacentral:lncRNA from 1 species